CAUGUAUAAGUAUAAACUUACUAAAGUGAAACCGCGAAUGGCUCAUUAAAUCAGUUAUGGUUUAUUAGAUCGUACGACCCACAUGGAUAACUGUGGUAAUUCUAGAGCUAAUACAUGCUAAAAAGUCGGAUCGUGAGGUUCGAUAGCUUUUAUUAGAACAAAAACUAACGUUUUUGGUGACUCUGGAUAACUUUGUGCCGAUCGCAUGGUCUCGUACCGGCGACGUAUCUUUCAAAUGUCUGCCUUAUCAACUGUCGAUGGUAGGUUAUAUGCCUACCAUGGUCGUAACGGGUAACGGAGAAUCAGGGUUCGAUUCCGGAGAGGGAGCCUGAGAAACGGCUACCACAUCCAAGGAAGGCAGCAGGCCCGCAAAUUACCCACUCCCGGCACGGGGAGGUAGUGACGAUAAAUAACAAUGCAGGUCUCUUUCGAGACCCUGUAAUUGGAAUGAGAUCACUUUAAAUCCGUUAACGAGGAUCGAUUGGAGGGCAAGUCUGGUGCCAGCAGCCGCGGUAAUUCCAGCUCCAAAAGCGUAUAUUAAAGUUGUUGCAGUUAAAAAGCUCGUAGUUGGAUCUCAGGUAACGGUGGGAAGCCCGCUUAACCGCGACCGUUUCCCAGUCCGACCUAUUCUUCGUCGUCCCCUCGAUGCUCUUUAUCGGGUGUCUUGGGUAGUCGGAACGUUUACUUUGAAAAAAUUAGAGUGCUCAAAGCAGGCUCGAAGCCUCGAAUAUCGAUGCAUGGAAUAAUGGAAUAGGACCGCGGUUCUAUUUUGUUGGUUUUCGGAAGCCGUGGUAAUGAUUAAGAGGAACGGACGGGGGCAUCCGUACUGUGGCGCUAGAGGU
rnacentral:rRNA from 1 species